rnacentral:misc_RNA from 1 species
GAUGAAGAACGUAGCGAAAUGAGAUAAGUAAUGUGAAUUGCAGAAUUCAGUGAAUCAUCGAAUCUUUGAACGCACAUUGCGCCCCUUGGUAUUCCGAGGGGCAUGCCUGCUCGAGCGUCAUUAUAACCCCUCAAGCUCAGCUUGGUGUUGGGGCCUGCUGCACUGGCAGCCCUUAAAAUCAGUGGCGGCGCCAUCUGGCUCUAAGCGUAGUAAUUCUUCUCGCUAUGGAGUCCUGGUGGAUGCUUGCCAUCAACCCCCAAUUUUUCUAUGGUUGACCUCGGAUCAGGGAGGGAUACCCGCUGAACUUAAGCAUAUCAAUAAGCGGAGGA